GUGAGGAAUAUUGCGCAAUGGAGGCAACUCUGACGCAGCCAUGCCGCGUGCAGGAAGAAGGCGCUACGCGUUGUAAACUGCUUUUAACCGGGAAGAAACCCCAGGACGUGUCCUGGGUUGACGGUACCGGAGGAAUAAGCACCGGCUAACUUCGUGCCAGCAGCCGCGGUAAUACGAAGGGUGCAGGCGUUAUCCGGAUUCAUUGGGUUUAAAGGGUGCGUAGGCGGAGCGUUAAGUCAGUGGUGAAAUCCUGCAGCUUAACUGUAGACUUGCCAUUGAUACUGGCGCUCUUGAGUGCGCUUGAAGUGGGCGGAAUGUGCCGUGUAGCGGUGAAAUGCUUAGAUAUGGCACAGAACACCAAUUGCGAAGGCAGCUCACUAAGGCGAUACUGACGCUGAGGCACGAAAGCGUGGGGAUCGAACAGGAUUAGAAACCCCAGUAGUCC
rnacentral:rRNA from 1 species